AGAGUUUGAUCCUGGCUCAGGAUGAACGUUGGCGGCGUGCCUAACACAUGCAAGUCGAACGGGAAGUCGGGCUUCGGCCUGGCGGAGAGUGGCGCACGGGCGAGUAACACGUAGCUGACCUGCCCUCGAGAGCGGGAUAACGCACCGAAAGGUGUGCUAAUACCGCAUAAGCUCACGGUAAUCAGAACGCUGUGAGAAAAACUCCGGUGCUCGAGGAUGGGGCUGCGGCCCAUCAGCUAGUUGGUGCGGUAAAGGCGCACCAAGGCGACGACGGGUAGGGGACCUGAGAGGGUGACCCCCCACACUGGGACUGAGACACGGCCCAGACUCCUACGGGAGGCAGCAGUGAGGAAUAUUGCGCAAUGGACGAAAGUCUGACGCAGCAACGCCGCGUGGGUGAUGAAGGUUUUCGGAUCGUAAAGCCCUUUUCUGCGUGACGAGGAAGGACGGUAGCGCAGGAAUAGGUGUCGGCUAACUACGUGCCAGCAGCCGCGGUAAAACGUAGGACGCAAACGUUAUCCGGAAUUACUGGGCGUAAAGCGCGCGCAGGCGGGUCGGCAAGUCGCUCGUGAAAGCUCCCGGCUAAACUGGGAGAGGUCGGGCGAAACUA
rnacentral:rRNA from 1 species